rnacentral:tRNA from 1 species
AGCUCAGUUGGAAGAGCAGAGGACUGAAAU